CUCGGCGUUGAUACCACCUCAACAAUACCAACCCUGCCAGUCGACACAACCGUCUGUAUGACAGCGCGUCACGUAUCGGAUGACAAUGAACGCUGUCAGGGCAGAUGAGAUGACUAAACAGAUUGAGGACAAAGCGGAUCGAAAAGUGAAGUACAAUCUACGAAGAUCACGUUAUCUGUUACUUAAAAGCUAUAUUUUACGCUAAAGUUAUUUUCUUAAUUACUAUUCUUACAUGCAAGUGAAUUCUCAGAAUCUAUAUAUACAACUCUAACCUAUUACGUACGGAGAAGCUGGGCGAAAUCUAGACUUGAUUGAUUAAUUCUAUGAGGACUGAAUAGUAAAACAGUGUGUGCAGGAAGUUAGUGCCGGAACGAGAGUAAAAGACACACAUAUAUGCACUAAACGAAUUAAAAACGGUCCUAAACUUCGGACGAAUAAAGGCCGCUACGAAUUCGGAAACCAUACAUGGUCUUUUAUUGUUACCGCGAUACGCUAGUAACAAU